rnacentral:RNase_P_RNA from 1 species
AGAGUCGCCCGGAUCACCGCGUUGCAGCUCUAGAUUAAUUUCUAGACUGGACCGAGGAAAGUCCGGACUUCACAGAGCAAGGUGGUGGGUAACGCCCACCCGGAGCAAUCCGCGGGAAAGUGCAACAGAAAGUAAACCGCCAAUAGCAAUAUUGGUAAGGGUGAAACGGCGGUGUAAGAGACCACCAGUGCAUGUAGUGAUACAUGUAGCUAUGUAAACCCCACCUGAAGCAAGACCAAGAAGAUAGUGCGUUGCUCGCGCAAGCUAUCGGGUAGGUUGCUUGAAUCUGCAAGCAAUUGCAGAUCUAGAUGGAUGGUGAUCGGUUCGAAAGAACUACAGGAUCCGGCUUAUAGGGCGACUCUUCUU